rnacentral:rRNA from 1 species
AUGGAGGACGGCCUCCUCGCCAACCGAUGGGCACAAUAUAUCCAAGGCGUCGUGGGGCUCCAGGAGAUUGGGCAGUACAUGCAGCUAUGGCGUAAGAUCGAGCACACUACUCUCUCCGUGGAGCCAGACCGCCUAACCUGGAAGUGGAGCGCAAACAGCACCUACUCAGCCAAAUCUGCCUACCUCGCCACUUUCCACGGCUCCAUCGCAUGCGACGCGUGGAAGCUCACCUGGAAGUGCUGGGUGCCCUCGCGUGUCAGGUUCUUCCAUUGGCUAGCUCACCUGGAUCGCUGCUGGACCGCCGACCGCCUCGCCCGCCGCAGCUUGCCGCACCCCGCGCGUUGCCCCCUUUGCGACCAGGCGCCUGAAACCAUGAACCACCUCCUCCUUGUCGGCAGACCUGGCAUGAGGUGUUCAGUUGGCUCCGGGCCCCAUGCCCCCCGCCUGCUCAUGAGCCAUCCCUCAACAACUGGUGGCAAUCCGCAAGACAGCUCGCGCCCAAGCCAAUGCGCAAAGGCCUUGCUUCUGCGGUCCUUCUAG